rnacentral:rRNA from 1 species
GAUGAACGCUAGCGGCAGGCUUAACACAUGCAAGUCGAGGGGUAGAAGGAGCUUGCUCCUUUGAGACCGGCGCACGGGUGCGUAACGCGUAUGCAAUCUACCUUUUGCAGAGGGAUAGCCCAGAGAAUUUGGAUUAANACCUCAUAGUAUGUGAGGAUGGCAGUCAUUUUCACAUUAAAGUCACAACGGCAAAAGAUGAGCAUGCGUCCCAUUAGCUAGUUGGUAAGGUAACGGCUUACCAAGGCUACGAUGGGUAGGGGUCCUGAGAGGGAGAUCCCCCCANACUGGUACUGAGGACACGGACCAGACUCCUACGGGAGGCAGCAGUGAGGAAUAGUUGGACAAUGGGCGCAAGCCUGAUCCAGCCAUGCCGCGUGCAGGAAGAAGCAAGUCU